rnacentral:rRNA from 1 species
UGCAAGUCGUACGGUAAGGCCCUUUCGGGGGUACACGAGUGGCGAACGGGUGAGUAACACGUGAGUAACCUGCCCACAACUUUGGGAUAACGCUAGGAAACUGGUGCUAAUACUGGAUAUGUGCUCCUGCUGCAUGGUGGGGGUUGGAAAGCUCCGGCGGUUGUGGAUGGACUCGCGGCCUAUCAGCUUGUUGGUGGGGUAGUGGCCUACCAAGGCGGCGACGGGUAGCCGGCCUGAGAGGGUGACCGGCCACAUUGGGACUGAGAUACGGCCCAGACUCCUACGGGAGGCAGCAGUGGGGAAUAUUGCACAAUGGGCGCAAGCCUGAUGCAGCAACGCCGCGUGCGGGAUGACGGCCUUCGGGUUGUAAACCGCUUUCAGCAGGGACGAAGCUUUUUGUGACGGUACCUGCAGAAGAAGCACCGGCUAACUACGUGCCAGCAGCCGCGGUGAUACGUAGGGUGCGAGCGUUGUCCGGAUUUAUUGGGCGUAAAGGGCUCGUAGGCGGUUGAUCGCGUCGGAAGUGGAAACUUGAUGCUUAACGUUGAGCGUGCUUUCGAUACGGGUUGACUUGAGGAAGGUAGGGGAGAAUGGAAUUCCUGGUGGAGCGGUGGAAUGCGCAGAUAUCAGGAGGAACACCAGUGGCGAAGGCGGUUCUCUGGACCUUUCCUGACGCUGAGGAGCGAAAGCGUGGGGAGCGAACAGGCUUAGAUACCCUGGUAGUCCACGCUGUAAACGGUGGGUACUAGGUGUGGGGUCCAUUCCACGGAUUCUGUGCCGUAGCUAACGCAUUAAGUACCCCGCCUGGGGAGUACGGCCGCAAGGCUAAAACUCAAAGGAAUUGACGGGGCCCCGCACAAGCGGCGGA